UUCUGAAGUCAUGAUUUCAACAUGAGGGUUUAAGAGGUAAAUUUUUUUCAUGGCAGCCUCUGUGUUGAGAAAGUAGAUGCGUUUUAGUUUUCAAGAAUAAUAAUUGAGUUAUUGAAUAACGUUCUAAUUUAUUCUUUUCCACAGGUUCAUGAGGAGAAUGUCAUUCAUCACCGCUGAUUGCUCUACUUACUAUUCAAAAUAGAGAAAAGAAACAAAAAUGACCAACUAGUUUUCUUAUUUAUGACUAUGUGGCUGGAAUAGGAUCUAAAAGUUAAACGCUUAGUAGGAUUAAUAGUGUUUGUAUGACAAAUAUUUAACUUGUACAUAAUAUCAUCAAUGUCAUGAAUAAGCUGUGACAGAUGAUGUCUCUAUCACAAAUAAUGAAAGUAACAAUAUGUUACGUUUCUACCCACCAUUGAGAUGUUAAAUGUGCAAGUGAUUGGGUUUGCUUAGAAGUCUACAAUACAGUACAGUAACCAAGCCCUACUUUUCCUCUGGAGCCCAGGUGUGGCAAUAAUCUAUAUUCUAACAGUAAAACCAUUAAUCAAGGGGGUUAGUGGGGGCAAAAAUAUAAUGUCCUAGGUUAACCUUCACAAAUAGCUUUAUAUAUACGCAUUUAUCAUUUUAGGAAGAAGUAACACUGUAUAUCUACAGUGAGGGAAAAAAAGGAUUUGAUCCUCUGCUGAUUUUGAACGUAUGUCCACUGACAAAGAUAUGAUCAAUCUAUAAUUUU